AAAUUAGUUUAAUGGUAGAAUAAAUCACUCGUAAUGAUUAGACAUAGGUUCGAUUCCUAUAUUUGGC
rnacentral:tRNA from 1 species